GGCCCCAGACUUCUUACGAGAGGCAGCAGUGGAGAAAUAUUGGACAAUGGGCGCAAGCUGAUCCCAGCCAUGCCGCUGAGUGAUGAGCUUAGGUGUAAGCUCUUUGUCCGGACGAUAUGACGUACUGAGAUAGCCCGCUACUUCGUGCCAGCAGCGCGUAUACGAAGGGGCUAGCGUGCUCGAAUCACUGGCGUAAAGGGCGCGUAGGCGGCCAUUCAAGUCGGGGUGAAAGCCUGUGGCUCAUCACAGGAUUGCCUUCGAUACUGUUGGCUUGAGUAUGGCAGAGGUCAGUGGAACUGCGAGUGUAGAGGUGAAAUUCGUAGAUAUUCGCAAGAACACCAGUGGCGAAGGCGGCUGACUGGGCCAUUACUGACGCUGAGGCGCGAAAGCGUGGGGAGCAAACAGGAUUAGAUACCUGGUAGUGCACGCCGUAAACGAUGAAUGCUAGCUGUCCGGACACUUGGUGUUUGGGUGGCGCAGCUAACGCAUUAAGUUAUCCGCCUGGGGAGUACGGCCGCAAGGUUAAAACUCAAAUGAAUUGACGGGGGCCUGCACAAGCGGUGGAGCAUGUGGUUUAAUUCGAAGCAACGCGCAGAACCUUACCAGCGUUUGACAUGGCAGGACGACUUCCAGAGAUGGAUUUCUUCCCUUCGGGGACCUGCACACAGGUGCUGCAUGGCUGUCGUCAGCUCGUGUCGUGAGAUGUUGGGUUAAGUCCCGCAACGAGCGCAACCCUCGCCUUUAGUUGCCAUCAUUCAGUUGGGCACUUUAAAGGAACCGCCGGUGAUAAGCCGGAGGAAGGUGGGGAUGACGUCAAGUCCUCAUGGCCCUUACGCGCUGGGCUACACACGUGCUACAAUGGCGGUGACAGUGGGCAGCAAGCACGCGAGUGUGAGCUAAUCUCCAAAAGCCGUCUCAGUUCGGAUUGUUCUCUGCAACUCGAGAGCAUGAAGGCGGAAUCGCUAGUAAUCGCGGAUCAGCAUGCCGCGGUGAAUACGUUCCCAGGCCUUGUACACACCGCCCGUCACACCAUGGGAGUUGGAUUCACCCGAAGGCGUUGCGCUAACUCGCAAGAGAGGCAGGCGACCACGGGGGGUUAGGCGACGGU
rnacentral:rRNA from 1 species